CUGAAACAUCCACGUUUCCAGUUCACCGAAAAUGAGGAACAAGCUGACAUAAUCUGGGCCUUCUCCCAUAUCCGAGAUUAUCGAAAACUGAGGAACGGCCUCAUGUCCUGCUCAACCAGUUCCCCUGUGAGACGGUGCUGACCACUAAAGACUGCCUGGCAUCUGUGGCACAGAGAGCCAGGGGAGGUCUGGGGGCUCCGUGGCUCCCUGAAACCUUUAAUCUACAGACUGAGCUCCCACAGUUCAUCAGACAUUACCUACAGAGACAGGAGAGAGGACUGGAUAACCACUGGAUCUGCAAACCUUGGAACCUGGCCCGCGGUCUGGACACACACAUCACGAACAACCUCAACUACAUAAUCAGACAGCGAGAGA